AUGGCCCCCAAGGCUGCUGAGAAGAAGCCAGUGGAGAAGACCCCCGCGGGCAAGAAGCCCAAGGCGGAGAAGAAGGUGCCGGCGUCCAAGGAGGGCGGCGACAAGAAGGGGAAGAAGAAGGCCAAGAAAAGCGUGGAGACGUACAAGAUCUACAUCUUCAAGGUGCUCAAGCAGGUGCACCCCGACAUCGGCAUCUCCUCCAAGGCCAUGUCCAUCAUGAACUCCUUCAUCAACGACAUCUUUGAGAAGCUCGCCGGUGAGUCCGCCAAGCUCGCGCGCUACAACAAGAAGCCCACCAUCACGUCCCGCGAGAUCCAGACCUCCGUCCGCCUCGUCCUCCCUGGCGAGCUCGCCAAGCACGCCGUCUCCGAGGGCACCAAGGCCGUCACCAAGUUCACCUCGUCCUAG
rnacentral:rRNA from 1 species